AACGUAGGAGACAAACGUUAUCCGGAGUUACUGGGCGUAAAGGGCGUGCAGGCGGUCGACUAAGUCUGGCGUGAAAGCUCUCGGCUAAACCGGGAGAGGUCGUUGGAUACUGGUUGACUAGAGGACGGUAGAGGCGUGUGGAAUUCCGGGUGUAGUGGUGAAAUGCGUAGAGAUCCGGAGGAACACCAGUGGCGAAGGCGACACGCUGGGCCGUACCUGACGCUGAUACGCGACAGCAUGGGGAGCUAACGGG
rnacentral:rRNA from 1 species